rnacentral:rRNA from 1 species
UACAGAGGUCUCAAGCGUUGUUCGGAAUUAUUGGGCGUAAAGGGUGCGUAGGCGGUUUGGUAAGUCUCGUGUGAAAUCUCCGGGCUCAACUCGGAGCCUGCACGAGAAACUGCCGGGCUUGAGUGUGGGAGAGGUGAGUGGAAUUCCUGGUGUAGCGGUGAAAUGCGUAGAUAUCAGGAGGAACACCUGUGGCGAAAGCGGCUCACUGGACCAUAACUGACGCUGAUGCACGAAAGCUAGGGGAGCAAACAGG